rnacentral:rRNA from 1 species
AUUGAACGCUGGCGGCAGGCCUAACACAUGCAAGUCGAGCGGAUGACGGGAGCUUGCUCCUUGAUUCAGCGGCGGACGGGUGAGUAAUGCCUAGGAAUCUGCCUGGUAGUGGGGGACAACGUUUCGAAAGGAACGCUAGUACCGCAUACGUCCUACGGGCGAAAGCAGGGGAACUUCGGGCCUUGCGCCAUCAGAUGAGCCUAGGUCGGAUUAGCUAGUUGGUGGGGUAAUGGCUCACCAAGGCCACGAUCCGUAACUGGUCUGAGAGGAUGAUCAGUCACACUGGAACUGAGACACGGUCCAGACUCCUACGGGAGGCAGCAGUGGGGAAUAUCGGACAAUGGGCGAAAGCCUGAUCCAGCCAUGCCGCGUGUGUGAAGAAGGUCUUCGGAUUGUAAAGCACUUUAAGUUGGGAGGAAGGGCAGUAAGUUAAUACCUUGCUGUUUUGACGUUACCGACAGAAUAAGCACCGGCUAACUCUGUGCCAGCCGCCGCCGUAAAAC